rnacentral:rRNA from 1 species
AAGACCUCGGCAUACUGCUCAGUAACACGUGGACAACCUACCCUACAGAAGGGGAUAACCCCGGGAAACUGGGGAUAAUACCCUAUAGACUAUGGAUGCUGGAAUGCUCUGUAGCCGAAAGGUCCGCCGCUGUAGGAUGGGUCUGCGGCCGAUUAGGUUGUUGUUGGGGUAACGGCCCAACAAGCCUGUAAUCGGUACGGGUUGUGGGAGCAAGAGCCCGGAGAUGGAUUCUGAGACACGAAUCCAGGCCCUACGGGGCGCAGCAGGCGCGAAAACUUUACAAUGCGGGAAACCGUGAUAAGGGAACUCCGAGUGUCCGUAAAUGCGGACUGUCCGUAUGUUUAAAAAGCAUGCGAAGAAAGGGCCGGGCAAGACCGGUGCCAGCCGCCGCGGUAAUACCGGCGGCUCGAGUGGUGGCCACUAUUAUUGGGCUUAAAGCGUUCGUAGCUGGGUUGUUAAGUUUCUUGGGAAAUCUACCGGCUUAACCGAUAGGCGUCCAAGGGAUACUGGCAAUCUAGGGACCGGGAGAGGUGAGGGGUACUUCAGGGGUAGGAGUGAAAUCCUGUAAUCCGUGGGGGACCACCUGUGGCGAAGGCGCCUCACCAGAACGGCUCCGACAGUGAGGGACGAAAGCUGGGGGAGCAAA